GAGAGUACACGUGGGAACGUGCCCUUCAGUUCGGAACAACCCAGGGAAACUUGGGCUAAUACCGGAUACGUCCGUAAGGAGAAAGAUUUAUCGCUGAAGGAUCGGACCGCGUCUGAUUAGCUUGUCGGUGAGGUAACGGCUCACCAAGGCGACGAUCAGUAGCUGGUCUGAGAGGAUGAUCAGCCUCACUGGGACUGAGACACGGCCCAGACUCCUACGGGAGGCAGCAGUGGGGAAUAUUGGACAAUGGGCGCAAGCCUGAUCCAGCCAUGCCGCGUGCGUGAUGAAGGCCCUAGGGUUGUAAAGCCCUUUCGGCGGGGAAGAUAAUGACGGUACCCGCAGAAGAAGCCCCGGCUAACUUCGUGCCAGCAG
rnacentral:rRNA from 1 species